rnacentral:sRNA from 1 species
UCACUAACUCAAUUUAGUUAUCUGCCUA